GUUAUUUUGACAGAAAAUUGUGUAAGAUUUAGAAUCUUUUUAUGUAUGUUAUAUACAAAUAACA